rnacentral:lncRNA from 1 species
UGUUGUUUUAUAUCUGUAUGUUGCUAGCUUUGAUAUAUUUGAGGUAUGUGAGAUUUAAAAAAAAUCUUAAUAUAUAAAAUUUCAUUAUAGUGAUAAAAAGUUGUUGGGGGAGAUAAUGCUCGGUGAUUAUUUGCAGAAACUAUAUGGAUCAAAGAGAACAGUUGUUGGGGGAGAUAAUGGUCGGUGAUUAUUUGUCGUAUCUGAACGACACUGAUGGUCUGGAAGGAGAGGAUGAUGACUCGGAUACUCGAACAAUGGAG